rnacentral:sRNA from 22 species
GUGAACUACCCACCACCUAAAGGUAGUGGGCUUCUGUUAAAUAGUUCACCAGACUAAGUAUAGAGAAAUCUAUACUACGAUAUUUAGGUCAUGAUACCUUCGGUUGACGCAACAGACCGUUGCUCUAUC